rnacentral:rRNA from 1 species
GGAUGAACGCUGGCGGCGUGCCUAAUACAUGCAAGUCGAGCGAACGGCCGAGAAGCUUGCUUCUCUGAUGUUCGCGGCGGACGGGUGAGUAACACGUGGAUAACCUACCUAUAAGACUGGGAUAACUUCGGGAAACCGGAGCUAAUACCGGAUAAUAUUUUGAACCGCAUGGUUCAAAAGUGAAAGACGGUCUUGCUGUCACUUAUAGAUGGAUCCGCGCUGCAUUAGCUAGUUGGUAAGGUAACGGCUUACCAAGGCAACGAUGCAUAGCCGACCUGAGAGGGUGAUCGGCCACACUGGAACUGAGACACGGUCCAGACUCCUACGGGAGGCAGCAGUAGGGAAUCUUCCGCAAUGGGCGAAAGCCUGACGGAGCAACGCCGCGUGAGUGAUGAAGGUCUUCGGAUCGUAAAACUCUGUUAUUAGGGAAGAACAUAUGUGUAAGUAACUGUGCACAUCUUGACGGUACCUAAUCAGAAAGCCACGGCUAACUACGUG